CCUACGGGUGGCAGCAGUGAGGAAUAUUGGUCAAUGGACGAGAGUCUGAACCAGCCAAGUAGCGUGAAGGAUGACUGCCCUAUGGGUUGUAAACUUCUUUUCUCUGGGAAUAAAAUGUUCCACGUGUGGGAUUUUGUAUGUACCAUCUGAAUAAGGAUCGGCUAACUACGUGCCAGCAGCCGCGGUAAUACGGAGGAUCCGAGCGUUAUCCGGAUUUCGUGGGUUUAAAGGGAGCGUAGGUGGAUUGUUAAGUCAGUUGUGAAAGUUUGCGGCUCAACCGUAACAUUGCAGUUGACACUGGCAGUCUUGAGUACAGUAUAGGUGGGCGGAAGUCGUGGUGUAGCGGUGAAAGGCUUAGAUAUCACGAAGAACUCCGAUUGCGAAGGCAGCUCACUGGACUGCAACUGACACUGAGGCUCGAAAGUGUGGGUAUCAAACAGGAUUAGAUACCCCAGUAGUC
rnacentral:rRNA from 1 species